GGGGUGGGCUCCCAGCCUCUCACUGCAGCUACAGUCAUCUCGCUUCUAUCCUGCACGUGUUGGGGUCCUGCAUAGAACUUUGUAAGACCUAUUCUUUAAAAGUCUGAAGAUCUCUGACCUGCAUGAGCUCUAAAGCUGUGCUCCCCAAUACUUUGGCCGCUGGUUACACAUGGCUACUGAGCACUUGACAGUAUCUACAUGAUGUUCCAUGGCAUUGUUGGAGAAGGUCAUCAAGAGGGCACGUAACUGCCAGUUGACUCAGGAGCUAGACCUGGGCAUUCAGAGGCUCCUCACCCCUCCCAUGUCCUUGGAAUGUGCAUUCUGCCCACUGUUACUCAUCUUUUGGCCACCUAAGAUAAGCCUUAUGAAGAGACAGAAGGAUUAAGGAUCUCAUUAAAGUUUCUGGAGCUAAUAAGUGGCCGAGCUGAAAUUUGAACCUAGGGAAUUUCACAAAAUGAGCCUUGCUUCCUUAACUGCCAAGCUGUACUAUACGAUUCUUAAUUUCCCAUUACACUCUCUCCCUGUGUGAAGGACGGUGGACCAUGAACAAUUUGGGAACAGCUUUCCAGGACAGCCGCUGGUAUUCAAGUCACCUGAAGGAAUGUGAACGGAUUUCAAGGGAGCAGUGUAUUCCCUUUUCACUGACGUGAGCAGGAAAAGAACAUGGAGCAGCGCGUGUGCACAUGGAACAGGUCAAGACUCACUUGACACCUGUGAAGAGGCCAGUAAAAGUAAGAGUUGUCUCAUUUUUGAUGGGAAGCUAAGGUAGCCAAGCCAAAGACCUGGUCUGUGUGAUGUAAAACCGAAUGCUGGGGAGGGAGGGACACAUAACCAGGUGGUUUCAGUUAAUUCUGGAGAAUCUUCACGAACAAGUGGUAGUACAGUUUUCAUUUUGCUCUGUUGCUGUGUGUUGCUGCUCAGCCAUUUGGAGUGGAAUUUUCCACCUGAACCAAUAGAUUAACACAUGUUUAUUCAGCUAAUUCGUUGUGCUUUUUUGUGUCACCUGCUAUUCCUUUCAGCAAACUGUGUAUUUAAAUAAACCUUUGUGUUAGGUACUAUUAAAGACACAAGGGCAAAUAAGAUAAAGCUUCUCUGUGUCACGUGUUUUGCCUAGUGGAGGAAUCAGACACAUGCAUAAAUAAUUCUAACACACAAUGAGAUUUUGGCAAUUUCUGAGAGCUCCUUCUCUGUGUGCUUUGGUGUUGUCUGAAUCUGGGCUAAAGAGUGAGAUGGGAACUCCAUCCUUUUCUGAUUGAAUUUAUUCCUGCCACUCCAUCUUAAAUUCUUU